CUUCAUUUGAAGGCUUCUAGCAGAAUACUGACUUCCAGGCACCUAGGGACUUGGAACCACCUAUAAGACAAGCUUUGGCUGUGCUUGUGAGAGAUUAUCUAAGAAGAAAGGUCCCAGCCUGGAUGUGGAUGGUGCCAUCCCAUGAGCUAGUAGUCAGACUGAAUGAAAGUGCAAAAAAAGGAAGAACCCUGGCUUCCAAUGCAAAAACAGCCAACCAACCACCACCAACACCACCACCACCAACACCACCACCAACAACAACGACAACAACCAGAUCUCUACUUAAAAAAAGGACACAGGUAACUCUAGGAGGACCAGCUUUAGAAGACUCUACCUUACACAGCAGGACCCCCAAGUAUUGCCAAUCUAUGUGCAAGCCAGUAAGGAACAUCACUCCAUGGCUUCUGCAUCAGCUCCUGCUUUCUGACCUGCUUGAGUUUCAGUCCAGACUUCCUUUGU